AGAUUGAACGCUGGCGGAAUGCUUUACACAUGCAAGUCGAACGGCAGCACGGGGGCAACCCUGGUGGCGAGUGGCGCACGGGUGACUAAUACAUCGGAACGUAUCCUAGAGUGGGGGGAUAGCCCGGCGAAAGCCGGAUUAAUACCGCAUACGCUCGAAAGAGGAAAGUGGGGGAUCGUAAGACCUCACGCCCAAGGAGCGGCCGAUGCCGGAUUAGCUUGUUGGUGAGGUAAAGCUCACCAAGGCGACGAUCCGUAGCUGGUCUGAGAGGACGACCAGCCACACGUGGACUGAGACGACGGCCCAGACUCCUACGGGAGGCAGCAGGUGGGAAUUUGGACAAGUGGGGGAAACCCUGACUCCACGCCAUUCCGCGUGAGUGAAGAAGGUCCGUUCGGGUUAGUUAAGCUUCGUUCGGUACGAGGAACGGUAACGGUUUCGGAC
rnacentral:rRNA from 1 species